rnacentral:tRNA from 1 species
GCCGAUGUGGCUCAGCGGUAGAGCAGCUGAUUCGUAAUCAGCAGGUCGCCGGUUCAAAUCCGGCCAUCGGCUCCA